rnacentral:lncRNA from 1 species
UCCCUGCCUAAAAAAUCUCAGUGAAUUCACCCUGUACACAAAAACAGUCAACUCCUUGGCACAGCAUACAAAGUUUCCAAGGUCUGAUGCUAACCAACAUGGCCAGCUUGUUCCCAUUCCAAACUUCCCCUCAUAGUCUAGGAUCAAGUCAAAACAAAAUACAUGCUGUAACCUGUACAUUCCCAUCAUUGGAACUCUUAUUGUCUUUGAAGGAACUGUAACCCUUUAUUGAGGUUAUUUCCUUAUUGGUCUUCCUUAACAUUCCCAUCCCCCAACUUCAUCUGUUUACAAGUUAUUGUCUAUUACAAGAGGCUAUCUAGAGUCCCAGGUCCUCCAGGAAUUAUCUGCCAGAGACAUCAGAAUAUAUUGCCUUUUUUCACUGGGGUUUCCUGUCUGGUAGGAUGCAGGUCUUGAACAUCCUGGUAACCAUUUUGGCUGCCAUGUCAUAAAAUCUAGCCUGACCCAAUGGUAUAGUAGAGAUUGCUAUUUAUAUAGUAUCUUUCCUCAGCAUUCUAUAGGAAGGAAUAUGUAAAGUGUAACUCAAUACAUGUAGACCCAGAGUAAAGACUACCUCUCCCAGGCACUCUUGCAGUUAGGUGUGGCUAUGUGGUGAAGACCUGGCCAGUGUCAUGUGACUGGAAGUGAUGUACACAAUUUCCCUAACAGGGAAGGGGUGUGUCCUUCCCUUCCCCUCUUCCUUAUAGCUGGCAUAUGGACACGAGCGUGAAACAGUCUGGGCCAUUGGACCAGGACAAAACUCUAGGGAUAGAAGAAUGGGAAAACAGCCUGCUCUCAGGUGACUUUCUAGAUGAGGGACAACAUAACAGAUUGGACUUAUAUGGAGAAUCUUCUAUCUUAAUGAAACUGUAGGGUCUCCACAUACAUACAACCACACACAGAUCAUAAUUAAUGUACAAACUGAGAGGAAAACAUCACCUUAUGAUAUAUUCUCUAUACAAAGAAAGCCAUAAGGACAUGGAGACUCUGACCAGACUGUGUCUUGAAGUGAGUCAUUGCUAUUUGCUGGUUACUCUAGAAUUAGGGUCUCUCCCCUGCCUCCCUUCUAUAUUCCUAAGAUAUGGUGGUAUCAAGCAGCUAAAAUUGCUUUGGAGGUGACUGUAAAUGGUUGAUUCCAUUGAAGAGGUGACUGUCCGGAGUAGGAACGGUUACUGAGAAAAUAUGUUAAAACAGAGGAAAUGGUAUGCAACAAUGUCUGUUCUUUACACUCCCUGUAUCUUAGACCAUGGUUAGUCCAUAGGUUAAAGAAACAAGGAAUUGGCAGCUGAUGGAAUAGACAUCGGUGACAGAAUGGCCGAGAUAAGGAAAGGGCGUGAAACCUAUUGCCUAUCUGGUACUGUAAGACUUGGCAGCUUC